rnacentral:rRNA from 1 species
GGUGAGUCGGGUCCUAAGGCGAGGCCGACAGGCGUAGUCGAAUGGAUGAACGGGUGGAUAUUCCCGUACCGGCGGCGUACCGUAAGAGCCGAACGGAUGAGUACUAACCUCCGGUCGCGUGGCGUCGUUCCCUUCGGGGUUCGGGGUCCGCGGUCGUUGGGAGCGUAGUCCUGGUAGGCUAGCGCACAGGGGUGACACGGAAUGGGAGCCGGCCGCGGAGGUGGUUUUCCGUGGUCAAGCACGCAGCCCGUCCCAUAGGCAAAUCCGUGGGACGCAUAGGGUGAGGUGUGAUGAUGGGCGUCCUUUGGACGCGAUAUCCGGUGGUCCAGGCCGUCGAGAAAAGCCUCGGCGCGAGGGGCGUCGCCGCCCGUACCCCAAACCGACACUGGUGGUCAGGUAGAGAAUACCAAGGCGAUCGAGCGAAUCCUGGUCAAGGAACUCGGCAAAUCACUCCCGUGCCUUCGGUAUAAGGGAGACCCCCGGGCGUGAAGAGGCUUGCCCUCGGAGCGUUGGGGGGUGGCACAGACCAGGGGGUAGCGACUGUUUACCAAAAACACAGGUGCAUGCGAAGGCGCAAGCCGCUGUAUAUGCACUGACGCCUGCCCGGUGCCGGAAGGUUAAGAGGAUCCGUCAGCCCCUUUUGGGGUGAAGCGGUGAAUUCAAGCCCCGGUAAACGGCGGUGGUAACUAUAACCAUCCUAAGGUAGCGAAAUUCCUUGUCGGGUAAGUUCCGACCUGCACGAAUGGCGUAACGACUUCCCCACUGUCUCGACCAGGAGCUCGGCGAAAUUGCAGUACGAGUAAAGAUGCUCGUUAAGCGCAGAAGGACGAAAAGACCCCGGGACCUUUACUAUACCUUGGUAUUGGCAUUCGGUGUGGAUUGUGUAGCAUAGGCGGGAGGCUUCGAAGCAUGGGCGCCAGCCCGUGUGGAGCCGCAAGGUGAAAUACCGCUCUGUUCUCGUUUGACGUCUAACCUCGAACAGUCAUCCUGUUCAGGGACAGUGCCUGGCGGGUAGUUUAACUGGGGCGGUUGCCUCCCAAAGAGUAACGGAGGCGCUCAAAGGUCCGCUCAGCCCGGUUGGCAAUCGGGUUUCGAGUGUAAUCGCACAAGCGGGCUUGACUGCGAGAACGACGGUUCGGGCAGGGACGAAAGUCGGAGAUAGUGAUCCGGUGCCGGCGCACGGGCGCGGCAUCGCUCAACGGAUAAAAGGUACCCCGGGGAUAACAGGCUGAUCAUUCCCAAGAGUCCAUAUCGACGGGAUGGUUUGGCACCUCGAUGUCGGCUCGUCGCAUCCUGGGGCUGGAGCAGGUCCCAAGGGUUCGGCUGUUCGCCGAUUAAAGCGGCACGCGAGCUGGGUUCAGAACGUCGUGAGACAGUUUGGUCUCUAUCCUCUGCGCUCGUUGGAAUCCUGAGGAGGCCUGCCCAUAGUACGAGAGGACCUGGGUGGACGGACCUCUGGUAUGCCGGUUGUCGCGCCAGCGGCAUGGCCGGUUGGCUACGUUCGGGAGGGAUAACCGCUGAAAGCAUCUAAGCGGGAAGCCUGCUCCAAGAUUAGGAUUCCUUGGCACUUCGGUGCCUGUAGCCCGCAUGUUGAACACGUGUUCGAUAGGCCGGAGGUGGAAGCCCCGCGAGGGGUGGAGCCGACCGGUACUAACGGGCGAACGCGGCACACU